GCUCUUCUGAUCUGCAUCUGGUCCAUGUAAUCGAUUCCACUGAUCGUUAACAUGUAUCCGACCACAUGGUUGGAUUGUGACUGACUUUUUCAAAAAGCCUUUAAAGAGUCAUUAUGUGUUUCUGUCCAAUUAAAUCAAAGCAUCUGUGAUUAAC